UCUUCAAAGGCUGCGGGGAGGUUGUCCACCUCGGCCUGGUACACCUUCUGAUCGAUACACUCCUGCAUGUUCUUAAAGAUGAUGGGAGAAGAAAAGAGUUGAAGAUUCGUCAGGAUGGUGCACAGAGAGUCUGGGGAGAUGAAGACAAGGGCAAGCCAGAGGCUCCCCAACCUGCAAGUGUGGCUGGAGAACACAAGAAGGAAUGAACUAGAAUACCUAUGCCUUCUAGAAAAGCAAUGUCCCAGUGGAACCUGGGUACCCCGUGACUCACACCUGUCAUCCUAGCUACUCAGG